AACGAACGCUGGCGGCAUGCCUAACACAUGCAAGUCGAACGAGACCUUCGGGUCUAGUGGCGCACGGGUGCGUAACGCGGGGGAACCUGCCCUUAGGUUCGGAAUAACUCCCCGAAAGGGGUGCUAAUACCGGAUAAUGUCUUCGGACCAAAGAUUUAUCGCCUUUGGCUGGGCCCGCGUUGGAUUAGCUGGUUGGUAGGGUAAAAGCCUACCAAGGCGACGAUCCAUAGCUGGUCUGAGAGGAGGAUCAGCCACGCUGGGACUGAGACACGGCCCAGACGCCUACGGGGGGCAGCAGUGGGGAAUAUUGGACAAUGGGCGCAAGCCUGAUCCAGCAAUGCCGCGUAAGUGAUGAAGGCCUUAGGGUUGUAAAGCUCUUUUACCCGGGAUGAUAAUGACAGUACCGGGAGAAUAAGCUCCGGCUAACUCCGUG
rnacentral:rRNA from 1 species